rnacentral:lncRNA from 1 species
CGGUGGGGAGGGAGAAGCUAUCGUCGGACCAACAAAUGCUCUCACGGCGGAACGCGGCGGAAGCGAGGCGUUUGCCUGUUUGGAGGAGAACCAUGGCGUCCUCCAUUAAGCCUAGGUGGCAACAUGCUUGGCCUAGAACCAAGUACCUGUACCACAAUUUUCAGUUCAAUCGAGUUAAAACACAUGUUAACUAUUAUUAAUUCAAGCCUCCAAUUACCCUAAAAUUAUUACUAUUAAACUUGGGUUGUGAAAAUUGACCUCCAUUUGCCUUCUUUGUCGCAGCUUUUACACAACCCCGCCAUGACUUUCUUCUUCAAGUCCGAAACAGAAAAGCACUUGAAAGAUGGGUCACGACUCGAUGAGUCAGAGGACGAGUCAUUAGAAGGUAAAAGCUUGACUCGCUCCCUG